rnacentral:misc_RNA from 1 species
CUCAACUGUUGUAGAAAACAAUAGCAUUAAACAGAUUUUAGAAACCUAUAAAAACAAGGGUAAUUUUAGAGAAAUAAGAUGAUGCUACGCAAGAUAACAAAUCACAUUAACUUCAAAGGAGCCUGAGUGUCGAUGAUGGAUGGUAAAUGUUAGGGAAAAUUUAUUUCAUAGAGGAACAUAAUCAAACAAUACAAAUUAUAAAUACUAUUAGAGAAAGCUGAAAUACAUGCACUCUGACCAAGCAAGAACGCCAAUAUUCAAAUCAAAACGUUACAUGCAGAAAGACAGCAGUUAAAUGCGUUUACCCUUUCAGGCUGGCAAGGUCGUCCUAGUUCUUCACUGUUGUCACAUGCUUCAGAAGCAUAUGUACCACAUCAUGGGAUAUUCUUGCUGCAUCUAUCUUGAGGUGAUGAAUCUUUGCCUCCGUUUCUUGCUCAAGCCGCUUCACAUUAGCACCAGAAUCCCCGCUACUCUCCGCAACUUUCCUCUGAAAUUCCACUUCCACAUGAGCACGAAAUUCAGUAAUAUCCUUUUCAGCCUCUUCCUUGGCUUGUUUCAAUCUAGCCAUUUUUGCAUUUCUGGCAGCAUUGACAACGUGCUGAGCUUCCUGUUCUGCAGCUAGCAGGAGUUGAAUUCCAUUCUGACCUCUGGUGGCAUCCAUUCUUCCUGUAAUUUCUAAUGGAACAUGAAAUAUAAAGUAUCGGUUAGUAUUGGAUAGUAUGAAAACAAAAUAGCUCUUCCAGUAACAGAAUAAAGUGGCUUGAGCAAGGACCCAAUCAAAUGAACAAUAUCAGCAAUAAAAACUGCACGCUUUCAGGGAAAACUUCAAUUUCAGAACAGCCCAGGCACAAAUGUAAGUUACCCAGAAAAAUGGCAUCCCCCUGGAUCAACUCUUUCAACACAUAGCAUCUAAAAUUCCACCUCAGAUAAAAUUAAGGAAACUCAACACCCAACAAAACCCAACCCUUGCCACAUGAUUUUUUUUGCUCCAAUAAAGUGAAGAAAAGAACUGUGCUCAAUUUGUUCUUCUAUAGCUAACAAGGUUCAGCGCCUGAAUACGAAAAUUGCAGCCUAAAAAUGAAGAACCGAAUAAUGGCAAAAUUGGGGAUGUUGCAAGAGGGUAACCCCUCAUCCUAGCAAGGGUACAAGGGUAUGGUAACAACAACCCCUAAUGAUGAUGCAGACAAGCUAAAUGAUUCUGUCUUUGCGUAUUCAACUAUUCAUGUUCUUAAAAGGCCACAAAUAGAGCAUAUUAAAAGUGGUACUUGUAACCAAAUAUCACAAUUACAAGUUACAAUGUUAAAAAGCUCAAAAGCAAUGAACCAGCAUGAAGAUUGAAAAUUUGAAAUUUAUGAAAAAAAUGACUUCAUCAUGUUGACAUACUAGAACCGGAAUUAAUUUGCAGCUUUGCUUGUCCUUACUCAACUCAGCUAAGUUCAACUAAGAUUUAAUUCCAAUCUAAUUGGGUUUGCAUCUUCAGUUAAAUCAAGUACCCAAAACAAAUUAAAUCUACACUGAAGAAAAUUGACAUUUCAAAGAGCUACGAUGAAG